UGUUAUACCGGUCAUCUGAA
rnacentral:miRNA from 1 species